CUGUUUGUUCCUGUGCUGCAAGUCACAGGUGCAAGGCAGCAGGUGGGCCAGGUAGCCUUUGAGUCACAGGACAACUGGGCCCACCCGCCUGGACUCCAAGCCACACUGGAGUUACCGGUGAAGGCCAAUCUGUCCUCUUCUAUUUUCUUCUUGAGGUGUUUGAUCUCAAAGUCCCUCUCCUUCAGCAACUUAUACAGUCGCCCGUUCUCAUCGACUGUCUCCCGGAGCUCACUGCGAAGAUGCUGGAUUUCAUCUUCCAACACCCUGCAAGGGAAAGAUGGACCGACUGCUCCUCACAGGCAACAGUGCCCAGGCCUCCGAAAGCUGGCUUGCACCUGUAGUAUCAGGGUUGGCCACUAGGGGGCACUAAGAAGUUGUCUGUACAAAAUAAGACCGAAACUGUGAGAGAAGAGAGGAGAUUUAAACAUACUGU
rnacentral:lncRNA from 1 species